rnacentral:ncRNA from 1 species
AGUCGGCCAUGUCUUGGCCGACCUUAGACAUUAGGAAGUUUUCCUUUUCUACGGUUUAGAUCUUUUCCUAUUUCAUGUUGAAUUAGGUUUUGGAUAAUUUCCUUUUUCCUAUACUUUGUAAUUCCUAUAUAAAAGAACCUUAUGAUUCAUUAAUAAUACACACAGAGAAUUCCCCAUUCUUUUACAACAGAAAGCAUUUGCCAAGGAUAUUUUCAUUAAUCAAGAACGAAAGUUGGGGGCUCGAAGACGAUCAGAUACCGUCCUAGUCUCAACCAUAAACGAUGCCGACCAGGGAUCAGCGGAUGUUGCUUUUAGGACUCCGCUGGCACCUUAUGAGAAAUCAAAGUUUUUGGGUUCCGGGGGGAGUAUGGUCGCAAGGCUGAAACUUAAAGGAAUUGACGGAAGGGCACCACCAGGAGUGGAGCCUGCGGCUUAAUUUGACUCAACACGGGGAAACUUACCAGGUCC